rnacentral:lncRNA from 1 species
GAAAUGAGAGAGUGUGGGAGAGUGAGAGUGAAGGGAUGUGAGAGAGAGGAGAGGGCUCUCUUCUCUCUAUACCCUCUAACUUAAGGCAUUUUUGCAGAAAAACCUCUCAACUUUAUAUCUCUCAACCUGCCCUCACUGGGCAGUUUUCGCCCGGAGGGACCGGUCUCCCCGACCUGGGACCGGUCCCCGAGAGCCUCCCCAGAUAUCACGCGUUCGGGAACCGGUCUCUCCCCGGGAGACCGGUCCUUGCCCGAGAGACCGGUCCCCGAAAGCUUGAUUUUCGGGACUUAGCCAAAUCUUGGCUUUUCUCGCUAGUGUCGCAUUCGGGGACCGGUCCCUCCCUGCCAGGGAUCGGUUGCAUCAGCAACCCCGCAACCACCAGCCGAUGGGAC